rnacentral:rRNA from 1 species
CCUACGGGAGGCAGCAGUGGGGAAUAUUGCGCAAUGGGCGAAAGCCUGACGCAGCGACGCAGCGUGAGGGACGAAGGCCUUCGGGUUGUAAACCUCUUUCAGCGGGGACGAAGCGAAAGUGACGGUACCCGCAGAAGAAGCACCGGCUAACUACGUGCCAGCAGCCGCGGUAAUACGUAGGGUGCAAGCAUUGUCCGGAUUUAUUGGGCGUAAAGAGCUCGUAGGCGGCUUGUCACGUCGGAUGUGAAAACUCGGGGCUCAACCCCGAGCCUGCAUUCGAUACGGGCUAGCUAGAGUGUUGCAGGGGAGACUGGAAUUCCUGGUGUAGCGGUGAAAUGCGCAGAUAUCAGGAGGAACACCGGUGGCGAAGGCGGGUCUCUGGGCAACUACUGACGCUGAGGAGCGAAAGCGUGGGGAGCGAACAGGAUUAGAUACCCUGGUAGUCCACGCCGUAAACGGUGGGCGCUAGGUGUGGGGAACCUUCCACGUUCUCUGUGCCGUAGCUAACGCAUUAAGCGCCCCGCCUUGGGGAGGUACGGCGCGAGACAACUACAAGAAGUAGACGCGNGAGAGNGCGACGACGACGACGAGGGAGGAGG